rnacentral:rRNA from 1 species
UACGUAGGGUGCGAGCGUUAAUCGGAAUUACUGGGCGUAAAGUGUGCGCAGGCGGCCGAGCAAGUCGAGUGUGAAGCCCCGAGCUUAACUUGGGAAUUGCGCUCGAACUACUGGCUAGAGUCCGGAAGAGGAGAGUGGAAUUCCUGGUGUAGCGGUGAAAUGCGCAGAUAUCAGGAAGAACACCCGUGGCGAAGCGGCUCUCUGGGACGGUACUGACGCUGAGACGCGAAAGCGUGGGGAGCGAACAGG